UCCCCAGCUAUUGCUGGACUACAAUUCCCAUUAUCCCCGACCACUGGUCCUGCUAGCUAGGAAUGAUGGGGGUUGUAGUCCAACAACAGCUGGGGA
rnacentral:miRNA from 1 species